rnacentral:lncRNA from 1 species
AUGACUUUAAUUUACAUAUUUCCUAAGCCACCCUAUCAAUGUUUUCUGUUCCUUAUUUGGUUAUUCAUCACUAAAGAAAUUUUAAACUCUAUUUCUGUUUUGCAAAUGCUGAGAACAACACGCCAACUGAGAGCAAAGGGUUGUAUUCCUAGAAGAAGUAUGCUAAAUUCAGAGAGAUGGAAUUUUGCACUCAUCUGCACACUGCUGCCAACAUGCCAGAGCUAUCUGAGGGAGGAAUUACCUCCAGGGAUGAGAGUGGAACUGCUCUUACAGCUCCUGGGGAAAGGUUACAUCCUUUCACCUGGCUUCUUCUGAAAACCGGGCAUUUGGAAACCCCUUGAGUAUAUUUGCUGCAGCCUUUUUUUGGUAUGUCUCUAGCUCAUACAUGCUAAUGAACAUGCAACACCCAGAAUUACUGCAUUGGCCCCAUGACACUUGGUUCUACUUCAUGUCUUUCUUCUUUCUUCUCGAGAUUGCCAUAAAGAUUGCACCUGUGCUCCUGCAUGUACUUAUGCACACCACAGCCUCUGAAUAAUGUAGACUCAUAGGAAAGACUUCAAAGAAUCAUAACACAGCCGUUUUAAACGGCUGGGAGGAGAGGCUGAUGGGAAAUGUUAUAAGAAUUCAGCAUUUCUUGCUUAGCUAAGCAGUAAUUUAGAAGGACAUGUAAACUAUGUGCAAGUAUUUCAAAGAAAACAAAAAGCAAACAAAAGCUCUGCACACUGCCCUGAUGUUGCAGACAAAGAGCAAGGAAGGGAGAGGUUUGCAGCAAGCUGUCUGCUCGAGUUUGUCAUUUUGUUAAGCACUCACACAUCGUGAUCAGGGUAAUGAAAGUAUUUGGGCAGAUUUGGAUAUUGAUAGCCAUAAAUGCAAAGGGGAAGAAGGUGAAUGGAUUAUCAGUGACCUGAGCAAGUCAUUGUGUAAAUGAGAUCAAUUACUCAGGAGUUCAUUAGUGAAAGAACAUAAAUAUCCUUCCUUCUCUUGCUAUGGAUAUCUUAUUGGGUUCCUAUCAUAUAUCAAAGCAAAACACAGAUUCUGUCUUUCAGAGACAAUGAUGGGUUAAC